GGUUGCGAUCAUACCAGCACUAAAGCAUCGGAUCCCACCAGAACUCCGAAGUUAAGCGUGCUUGGGCGAGUGUAUUUCUAGGAUAGGUGACCUCCUGGAAAGUCCUCGUGUUGCAUCCC
rnacentral:rRNA from 1 species